rnacentral:rRNA from 1 species
CUACGGGCGACUCCAGUGGGGAAUAUUGCACAAUGGAGGGAACUCUGAUGCAGCAACGCCGCGUGGAGGAUGACGCAUUUCGGUGUGUAAACUCCUUUUAUAUAGGAAGAUAAUGACGGUACUAUAUGAAUAAGCACCGGCUAACUCCGUGCCAGCAGCCGCGGUAAUACGGAGGGUGCAAGCGUUACUCGGAAUCACUGGGCGUAAAGCGCAUGCAGGCGGUUAAAUAAGUUGGAAGUGAAAUCCUAUGGCUCAACCAUAGAACUGCUUCCAAAACUGUUUAACUAGAGUCUGGGAGGGGAAGAUGGAAUUAGUAGUGUAGGGGUAAAAUCCGUAGAGAUUACUAGGAAUACCAAAAGCGAAGGCGAUCUUCUGGAACAGUACUGACGCUGAGAUGCGAAAGCGUGGGGAGCAAACAGGAUUAGAUACCCUUGUAGUC